rnacentral:rRNA from 1 species
UAAUAAUUUAAAGUCUGGCCUGCCCACUGAGUAUUUAAAUGGCCGCGGUAUUUUGACCGUGCAAAGGUAGCAUAAUCAUUAGUUUUUUAAUUGAAAGCUGGUAUGAAAGGUUGAAUGAAAAAAUAGCUGUCUCUAUUUAAUUUAAUUAGAAUUUUAUUUUUAAGUUAAAAAGCUUAAAUAUUUUUAAAAGACGAGAAGACCCUAUAGAGUUUUAUAAAAUAAAAUUAUUAUAUGUUUAGUAUUUAUAUUCUAAUAAUUUAAUUUUAUUUAAUUGGGGUGAUUGAAAAAUUUAAUUAACUUUUUUUUUAUUAUUUCAUUAAUUUAUGAAAAAAUGAUCCUAUUAUUUAGAUUAUAAGAUAAAAUUACCUUAGGGAUAACAGCGUAAUUUUUUUUAAGAGUUCUAAUCGAAAAAAAAGAUUGCGACCUCGAUGUUGGAUUAAAGUUAAUUUUUGGUGUAGAAGCUAAAAAAUUAGGUCUGUUCGACCUUUAAAAUUUUACAUGAUCUGAGUUUAAACCGGUGUGAGCCAGGUUGGUUUCUAUCUUUAAAUAGAUAAAAUAUUUUAGUACGAAAGGACCAAAUAUUUGAUUAUUAAUUUAUUUAUUGAAUAAUAUUGUUAUUUUGGCAGAAUAGUGCAAUAGAUUUAGAAUCUUUAAAUGUAAAUUAAAUUACAAAUAAUACUUGAUAUUUAAAGAUUUAAUUUUAAUAUGCUUAUCAAGUUUAAUUUUAAUUGUAGGAGUAUUAAUUGGAGUGGCUUUUUUAACAUUGUUAGAGCGUAAAGUUUU